GACGAACGCUGGCGGCGUGCUUAACACAUGCAAGUCGAACGGAAAGGCCCUGCUUUUGUGGGGUGCUCGAGUGGCGAACGGGUGAGUAACACGUGAGUAACCUGCCCUUGACUUUGGGAUAACUUCAGGAAACUGGGGCUCAUAACGGAUAGGAGCUCCUGCUGCAUGGUUGGGGUUGGAAAGUUUCGGCGGUUGGGGAUGGACUCGCGGCUUGUCAGCUUGUUGGUGGGGUAGUGGCUUACCAAGGCUUUGACGGGUAGCCGGCCUGAGAGGGUGACCGGCCACAUUGGGACUGAGAUACGGCCCAGACUCCUACGGGAGGCAGCAGUGGGGAAUAUUGCACAAUGGGCGGAAGCCUGAUGCAGCAACGCCGCGUGCGGGAUGACGGCCUUCGGGUUGUAAACCGCUUUCGCCUGUGACGAAGCGUGAGUGACGGUAAUGGGUAAAGAAGCACCGGCUAACUACGUG
rnacentral:rRNA from 1 species